GCGUAAAGAGCUCGUAGGUGGUUUGUCGCGUCGUCUGUGAAAUCCCGGGGCUUAACCUCGGGCGUGCAGGCGAUACGGGCAUAACUUGAGUGCUGUAGGGGAGACUGGAAUUCCUGGUGUAGCGGUGAAAUGCGCAGAUAUCAGGAGGAACACCGGUGGCGAAGGCGGAUCUCUGGGCCUUACCUGACGCUGAGGCGCGAAAGCUAGGGGAGCGAACAGGAUUAGAUACCCUGGUAGUCCUAGCCGUAAACGUUGGGUGCUAGGUGUGGGCGGAUAUCGACCCCGUCCGUGCCGAAGCUAACGCAUUAAGCACCCCGCCUGGGGAGUACGGCCGCAAGGCUAAAACUCAAAGGAAUUGACGGGGCCCCGCACAAGCGGCGGAGCAUGCGGCUUAAUUCGAUGCAACGCGAAGAACCUUACCUGGGUUUGACAUGCAGGGUGAAACCCGUGAAAGCGGGCGCUCUUCGGAGCCUGCACAGGUGGUGCAUGGCUGUCGUCAGCUCGUGCCGUGAGGUGUUGCCUUAAGUGGCGCAACGAGCGCAACCCCUGUCCUUAGUUGCCAGCGGAUCAUGCCGGGAACUCUAGGGAGACUGCCGGUGCCAAACCGGAGGAAGGUGGGGAUGACGUCAAGUCAGCAUGCCCCUUAUACCCAGGGCUGCACGCAUGCUACAAUGCGCGAUACAGAGGGCUGCGAUCCCGUAAGGGGGAGCGAAUCCCAAAAAGUCGCGCUCAGUUCGGAUCGAGGUCUGCAACCCGACCUCGUGAAGCCGGAGUCGCUAGUAAUCGCAGAUCAGCACUGCUGCGG
rnacentral:rRNA from 1 species